UGGGGAAUAUUGCACAAUGGGCGAAAGCCUGAUGCAGCAACGCCGCGUGAGUGAUGAAGGCCUUCGGGUUGUAAAGCUCUGUCUUUUGGGACGAUAAUGACGGUACCAAAGGAGGAAGCCACGGCUAACUACGUGCCAGCAGCCGCGGUAAUACGUAGGUGGCAAGCGUUGUCCGGAUUUACUGGGCGUAAAGGAUGCGUAGGCGGAUUUUUAAGUGAGAUGUGAAAUACCCGGGCUUAACUUGGGUGCUGCAUUUCAAACUGGGAAUCUAGAGUGCGGGAGAGGAGAAUGGAAUUCCUAGUGUAGCGGUGAAAUGCGUAGAGAUUAGGAAGAACACCAGUGGCGAAGGCGAUUCUCUGGACCGUAACUGACGCUGAGGCAUGAAAGCGUGGGUAGCAAACAGGAUUAGAUACCCUGGUAGUCCACGCCGUAAACGAUGAGUACUAGGUGUAGGAGGUAUCGACCCCUUCUGUGCCGCAGUUAACACAAUCAAGUACUCCGCCUGGGAAGUACGAUCGCAAGAUUAAAACUCAAAUGAAUUGACGGGGGUC
rnacentral:rRNA from 1 species